rnacentral:rRNA from 1 species
AUUGAACGCUGGCGGCAGGCUUAACACAUGCAAGUCGAGCGGGGACUUCGGUCCUAGCGGCGAACGGGUGAGGAAUGCUUGGGAAUCUGCCUGGUAGUGGGGGAUAACGUUUCGAAAGGAACGCUAAUACCGCAUACGUCCUACGGGAGAAAGGGGGGGAUCUUCGGACCUCUCGCUAUCAGAUGAGCCCAAGUCGGAUUAGCUAGUUGGUGAGGUGAAGGCUCACCAAGGCGACGAUCCGUAGCUGGUCUGAGAGGAUGAUCACCCACACUGGAACUGAGACACGGUCCAGACUCCUACGGGAGGCGGCAGUGGGGAAUAUUGGACAAUGGGCGAAAGCCUGAUCCAGCCAUGCCGCGUGUGUGAAGAAGGCCUUCGGGUUGUAAAGCACUUUAAGCGAGGAGGAAUGGCUCUGGGUUAAUACCCUUGAGCAGUGACGUUACUCGCAGAAUAAGCACCGGCUAACUCUGUGCCAGCAGCCGCCGCCGUAA